UUAAAUUGAAGAGUUUGAUCAUGGCUCAGAUUGAACGCUGGCGGCAGGCCUAACACAUGCAAGUCGAACGGUAACAGGAAGCAGCUUGCUGCUUCGCUGACGAGUGGCGGACGGGUGAGUAAUGUCUGGGAAACUGCCUGAUGGAGGGGGAUAACUACUGGAAACGGUGGCUAAUACCGCAUAACGUCGCAAGACCAAAGAGGGGGACCUUCGGGCCUCUUGCCAUCAGAUGUGCCCAGAUGGGAUUAGCUGGUUGGUGAGGUAACGGCUCACCAAGGCGACGAUCCCUAGCUGGUCUGAGAGGAUGACCAGCCACACUGGAACUGAGACACGGUCCAGACUCCUACGGGAGGCAGCAGUGGGGAAUAUUGCACAAUGGGCGCAAGCCUGAUGCAGCCAUGCCGCGUGUAUGAAGAAGGCCUUCGGGUUGUAAAGUACUUUCAGCGGGGAGGAAGGUGUUGUGGUUAAUAACCGCAGCAAUUGACGUUACCCGCAGAAGAAGCACCGGCUAACUCCGUGCCAGCAGCCGCGGUAAUACGGAGGGUGCAAGCGUUAAUCGGAAUUACUGGGCGUAAAGCGCACGCAGGCGGUCUGUCAAGUCGGAUGUGAAAUCCCCGGGCUCAACCUGGGAACUGCAUUCGAAACUGGCAGGCUUGAGUCUUGUAGAGGGGGGUAGAAUUCCAGGUGUAGCGGUGAAAUGCGUAGAGAUCUGGAGGAAUACCGGUGGCGAAGGCGGCCCCCUGGACAAAGACUGACGCUCAGGUGCGAAAGCGUGGGGAGCAAACAGGAUUAGAUACCCUGGUAGUCCACGCCGUAAACGAUGUCUACUUGGAGGUUGUGCCCUUGAGGCGUGGCUUCCGGAGCUAACGCGUUAAGUAGACCGCCUGGGGAGUACGGCCGCAAGGUUAAAACUCAAAUGAAUUGACGGGGGCCCGCACAAGCGGUGGAGCAUGUGGUUUAAUUCGAUGCAACGCGAAGAACCUUACCUGGUCUUGACAUCCACAGAACUUUCCAGAGAUGGACUGGUGCCUUCGGGAACUGUGAGACAGGUGCUGCAUGGCUGUCGUCAGCUCGUGUUGUGAAAUGUUGGGUUAAGUCCCGCAACGAGCGCAACCCUUAUCCUUUGUUGCCAGCGGUUAGGCCGGGAACUCAAAGGAGACUGCCAGUGAUAAACUGGAGGAAGGUGGGGAUGACGUCAAGUCAUCAUGGCCCUUACGACCAGGGCUACACACGUGCUACAAUGGCGCAUACAAAGAGAAGCGACCUCGCGAGAGCAAGCGGACCUCAUAAAGUGCGUCGUAGUCCGGAUUGGAGUCUGCAACUCGACUCCAUGAAGUCGGAAUCGCUAGUAAUCGUGGAUCAGAAUGCCACGGUGAAUACGUUCCCGGGCCUUGUACACACCGCCCGUCACACCAUGGGAGUGGGUUGCAAAAGAAGUAGGUAGCUUAACCUUCGGGAGGGCGCUUACCACUUUGUGAUUCAUGACUGGGGUGAAGUCGUAACAAGGUAACCGUAGGGGAACCUGCGGUUGGAUCACCUCCUUACCUGAAAGAAGC
rnacentral:rRNA from 2 species